UCCAGGGUAGCCUAGUGGACAUGGCACCUGCCCGGUAAGCAGAAGGUUGUGGGUUCGAUUCCCGCCCUUGGAC